AUGAUGAUGAUGAUGAUGAUUUAGGAUCCACUAUGUCGAGUAUCUCUGUGAGAAGAUUGUGGAAAACAAACUUGAAGUUGUCUCACUACUGGAAUUAGGAGAGGUGAAGGCAGUAUUUUCACGAGCUGGUAAAUUUCUGCCUAAACAGCGGCCUGGAGAAUAUGAAUUCCAGUAUCUUAGACGACUUAUACAGGUUGUACAGGAAGAAAUCCCUCUCGAAACAGCGUGAUUGGAUAUUAAGAACCCUCCAAGUUGUUCCAUCAGAAGUUCCCCAAAAUUUGAUAUUUACAAGUCUUGAAGCCCUUGUUAUUUUAAUUUUUACCGAUUUGUUAAUUUAAAUA